rnacentral:lncRNA from 1 species
GUACUCUUUUUGUGCCCAGUGUAGACUAGAUGUGGAUGAUACAAAUAUAAAAUGUGGUUUCUGCCCUCAGAGAACUCACAAGCUACUAGGGGAGAAAGUCUCAGAUAAAAGCACGGGAUGAUGGUUUUAGCCCUUCCAUGCAUAACAUCUGCUUUCCAGUCAGCGAGGAAUUGGAAGAGCACAUCUUUGCCUCUUUAUUUUGGAUCCCGUAAUCCAGCCCAGGGAGUGGUGCGUUCACCUCCUUGGCCAGAACUCCAGUGUACAGCUCCCCUUAGACACCAGGCUGAGAGGAAGGCGAGGAAGGACUUGGUGGAGGAAGUGUGUUGACUGAACCAACCUCCCCUGUAUUCUACACCAUCUCGAGGAAGAAGAGGGAGCUUUCAGAGAAUCCCAGACAAGACUGAGAGAUAGGGAAAUAGGAGUGGCUUCUGAGAGUCAUCAACCAAAGAUUCUGGGCAUUCCCUUCUCAGCCUUAAAUAAACUCCACGGAGGCCCAAGUCUGUGUCA